CCCUUAGAUGUUCUGGGCUGCACGCGCGCUACACUGAAGCUAUCAACACGUUUUCCCUCCCUGAGAAGGGCGGGUAACCUUUUGAAUCAGCUUCGUGGUAGGGAUCGGGGCUUGCACUUGUUCCCCGUGAACCAGGAAUUCCUAGUAGACGCGAGUCAUAAGCUCGCAUCGAUUAAGUCCCUGCCCUUUGUACACACCGCCCGUCGCUACUACCGAUUGAACGUUUUAGUGAGGCAUUUGGACCGACGCAUCUCAGUUUAACCGCUGGUUUGUGUUGGAAAGACUUCCAAACUUGAGCGUUUAGAGGAAGUAAAAGUCGUAACA
rnacentral:rRNA from 1 species